rnacentral:lncRNA from 1 species
GCUUAAUUGUAUGUGAUGAAAAGGUUCAAGUUUGGGGUUGUACGGGGGAAAAUUGAAAAAGCAAGUGAAAAGCAUUGAGCUCAAAUGNGCUUAAUUGUAUGUGAUGAAAAGGUUCAAGUUUGGGGUUGUACGGGGGAAAAUUGAAAAAGCAAGUGAAAAGCAUUGAGCUCAAAUGUUGUGAAAAGAAAAAUUCAUGAGAAAAAGAAAAGAAAAGAAGAAAAGCAUGAAGAAGAGCUCAAUGCAAAAGAAAAANAAAAGGGAAAAAGUUGGGAAUGAGAGAGAUUGGUGAGGAAGAGAGUUGUGCUUAA